UAGUGAACCACAGAGCAGGUCUAUGGCCUGUGCUGCUCCAUCGCGUCUAGUGAUCACCGGAAUGAGACUUUUACAGACCAUGCUGUGUUUUGCUUUGUGUGCUAGCCUGGCUGGGCUAGCCUAACCUAGCCCCGCUGAACGCACUUGGCCACCUACUUAUCACCAAAGCUAGCGAUGCUUAGCAUUCAUUUCUCCAUCUUCAGUAGAUCAAUGGACGGGUUUGACUCACCUCUCUGUACGUAUGAAGACUGGCCUCACACGGGUCGCCUCGCUACAUAAAUGGUUAACAGAGAUGUUGAAAGACUGGUCGUGGACGUGCAGACAGAUGGGGGUGUUCGCUCUCCUCGGAGCCGGUGCUGAUGCUCUCUGCAGCGCCACGGCUAGCUAGCUAACCACGCUAGCUAGUUAGCUGACACAUCUGCUUUGCUGCUAGCUAGCUGAAGAGACAGAAGGCGGCGCAGAGCGGUGCUCAUGCCACGAGAAACAGCGAGUCCGAUAGUGGAGACAGCCGCAGCACCACCCGACACUCGAUGCCCUCUGAAUACGCCUGGUGCUUGGUCAGGCCAGGCUGCUAGCUAACACUAUCUAUCACUAGUGAGCCAACUCUCAAUCCAAAAUGGCGACGACAAAAAGACGGAAGUCGUAGCAGAGAGCCGUGAGCACAGGAUGAAUGGCCAAAAUGGUUCCAUCACUUCCAGUACAACAGUGCGAGGUCCAGUCAUCACCAGCCUGGUCAUGGUCCUGUAGUCCAGGUCGAGAACACACUGUCCGUUCACCUGGCACACAAACUGCUGCACCUACACACGAUUACAUCAGCAGCUGCUGCUGGACUUCCAGGGUCAACGGCCUGCACAUAACAGGGAGCCCAGCCUCUGACGACAAAACCCCAGCCCAGGGGGUCUCCUAUCACCUGUGAUCAUGGUGGCAUGACGAGUCUUCCCACAGGAGUGGCGGGAGCAUUGCUGUCCCACACCUUCCACGUCUCCUCACCUUACUCGAUGAUAUGGGCCUUAUCACUGAAUCUGCCCGGCCGGCUAGUGAGUCCCUGACACUAAAGUGGGAGCUCUCCAAAACGGACGACAUGCAGAUCUCCUCCUCUGUGAAGAGGCCCCGUUUAUAGCUAAACGAUUAUUUCAGAUAAACUUAAGCAUAAUUAAAUCAUCUCUUUGACUGUUUCAAUGAACUCUCUCUGACUGCAAAAUAUGUAAAUAUCCUCUUGUACUCCACUCUGGAUUAAAUCAUCAUUCCAUUUAGCCGCAAGCUGUGGGAGGGAGGAAAGGAGUGAUGCAUUCAGAUCCACAAGUCGGGGAAACUGUGAAACUAUUUUAAGUAAAACACGAGUCCUCCGCCAAUAUUUAGUGCCAAUAUGAGGUCAGAAUGUAAAACAUUUCAUUCACUUUUACUUGAAGAAGACUCAGAAAUGUUUCACAGAAACACUGACAGCAUCAAAGAGGUGACGCCUUCACUCCAUAGUGAGCCACAUUACAAAGAGAGGUUGACCUUGCCUUUGGCCUCUUGGCUGUCUGACAAAGCAAUCCCCAUGCUCUAGUGCAGUACACGGCUGUCCUCUAAAUGAAAGUAGCUGAGAGGCGAAGGGCAAAGAGGCCUAUGGAAUAUCAAUGUGCGAUGCUCUCAAUUAAGAUUAAAGCUUAGAAUGGAAUCCUAUGGAGCCGCUUCCCUAAGAAAUGCUUGACAUUUUACCCUUGCUGACUCUGGAUAAAAAAAGUGUCCUGCGCCACCAGUACCACCACCACCACCACCGCUAACUAGCUGCCCCUCCUCAGCAAGCCCUCCUUUCCCUGAAUUCAUUCUGUAGAUAUUGACUUAGGCUACAGUCACACUUCUAAGAAAUAAGUGAAAUGGAUCAUCUUACUGCCGGUGGAUGAUAAGAAUACAGAAAUGUGAAAAAGCGUCUGGAUCAGCAAAAUGACAAACUAGGGGGGGAAAUAUGAGGCAGUUAUGAUAAACCCUCAGAGACAAAUUCCCUAUGCCAGACAGAGGAAUGAGAAGCUAGAGAGGGAAGAGAAGAGAGGGAAGAGAAGAGAGAAAAUAUACAUCUGCAACAUCCCCAUUUAAAUGUAUGUUUAAGAGAGAGCCUCAUUAAUUUACAAUGCGUGCGUCCUCUACCAAAAACACAGACACAGGGCUUUUAAACACCUGCAUUAGAUUUCUCUUCUCUCUCUUUACUAACCCUUCUUUGUUUUUAAGAAAAUCUACCAAUAUGAUCUGAUCUCAUAUGGAUUUAUUAUAGAGGAGAAUCCCUCAUUUUAAGAAUCUAUUUUACAUUCUGUACGCUCAGCAUAUACAUCACAGCUUUUAUUAACAUAUUUUUUAAGCAAUAUACAACCCCUCCUUAUAAAACAGUCUAUUGCAGAUCUACGAUGUCUGUGCUUUAUUCCCUUUAAUUAAAACAAUGUUUGAGAUUUAUUUAGCAUUUUCUUAAGAUUAGACAGAUGUUGUCUCUGAGCCCACUGCUUCGGUUUGAAUAUAAAACACGAGUCUUUGUUUACCCUGAAUGUGCUGCACAUUCUCUGGUGAUGUACACAACAUGAUGUCAGUGGUUUGCAUCUGAUCUCGUAGAUUAAUACUGAUUAUGAGGAUGUGUGUGUCUGCCACCGUAGCAUCUAAGCAGCUGCAAGCGUUUCUAUUUGUGUUGCUGGUAAAUAUAAUAUAGGACUGUUACAUUUAAGAUGAUGAAUUAGAGAGGAAUACGUAUCUGCUCACUUUGUAGAACGUAACAUGUAACUCCAGGUGGAGCGAAGCUAAAAUGUGUAAGGCCGAUGUUAUAGUUUAGAGCAGGGGCUGAUUAUGAAUACGAUGUAGAAAAUAAGAUCAAAAUGGAGCCUAUCGUGUAAACUCCACCCUUGAUAAACAGAAUUCCACAUCACGCUCCAACUCUGCAGUUAACU